GCUGACACAUCCCGGCCAAUCUCCGGCAGACCCUCCCUCCUUCCCAGACCCUCCUACUUCCUGGACAGCAUCCAUGUUGAAGGCAGCUUCAACAUGGAUGCUGUCCAGGAGGUGGGAGGGUCUGGGAGGGAGGGUCUGGCGGAGAUUGGCCAGGAUGUGUCAG